UACACCUGUACUUUACUACUAUUUAGAAGUGAACAAGAGGUGGACAAACACCGCAGUCACUUAUUGUACCAAGAGUAAUGUAAAUGGUACUUUAUACUUGGGCCCAUCUGAUUGGAUAGAUAUCUUUAAAUCUAUCCUGCUAACUAGUGUAUUACUUUUUAGUUUUAAGCAAACCAUGCGUACUCCUGUAUGAUUUCUUCGAUGUCGUCUCAGAGGUAUUUGUGACCAAAUUCUCUGAUUCCACGGCUCCAGUUCAGUGGCUGUUUGGGGCGUAGAAGAUGACAGUGAAUGAGAUUUUGAAAUGAAGUUUUUGUUACUAGAAUCUGAGAUGAUCUGCAACCCUUUGUUCAUUUACUGUAAAGCUCUUGCAUUUAUUCAUCUGUUACUUCUUCAUUUAUUUACCAGUAAACACUCGGAUUUGAGCUUUGUUUAAUUUUCUUUUCCUAAUAUGUUUGAAUCUUCAUAUUGUGUUUCGCCGUUUCCUAGAUAGUUCCCCCCUUUUGCUCUUUGUCCUGACAUGCAUGUUUCGAUUUGUCACAAAAUGCUGUGCAUACUGAAUUCACCCAAGUUAUUUGAUGAUAUGCUUGAGACAUCUGAAUAAUUGUUUACUGUUUUUUUUCUUUUUCCCACAAGUGUUAUAUAAAAUUAUCAUCUAUAAGGUACACCAUUUACUUCUACGAGACAUUAUUGUCAA